GAAAAGGUUGAGAGAAAGAGGAGUACGCAAAGAUCCCUUGCAAGAGAGGAUCACUCAUGGGCUGAAAGGUGAUUUCAAGAAGGAAUUGUGGAAGUAGCUUUUGAACCGGACGACUGAAGCGGCAGCAAUGCUGACAGUAGGUAGUCACGGAUCGUCCCCGUUAUCGGACGCUAGAGAUAUCGAUCUGCUUUUGUACAGAGAUUUACGGAGUAUGGAGCAGAGAGAUAACAAAGGUGGUACCGCGAUCAUUCGCCCUUUAC
rnacentral:ncRNA from 1 species